ACUCCUACGGGAGGCAGCAGUGGGGAAUAUUGGACAAUGGGGAACCGUAGCAUCCAGCCAUGCCGCGUGUGUGAAGAAGGCCUUCGGGUUGUAAAGCACUUUCAGUGGGGAGGAAAGGAUUGUUGGUUAAUACCUAACAGCUGUGACGUUACCCACAGAAGAAGCCACCGGACUAACUCCGUGCCAGCAGCCGCGGUAAUACGGAGGGUGCAAGCGUUAAUCGGAAUUACUGGGCGUAAAGCGUGCGCAGGCGGUCUGUUAAGCGAGAUGUG
rnacentral:rRNA from 1 species